GAUGAACGCUGGCGGCGUGCCUAAUACAUGCAAGUCGAGCGAACGGACGAGAAGCUUGCUUCUCUGAUGUUAGCGGCGGACGGGUGAGUAACACGUAGAUAACCUACCUAUAAGACUGGGAUAACUUCGGGAAACCGGAGCUAAUACCGGAGGAUAUUUUGAACCGCAUGGUUCAAAAGUGAAAGACGGUCUUGCUGUCACUUAUAGAUGGAUCCGCGCUGCAUUAGCUAGUUGGUAAGGUAAUGGCUUACCAAGGCAACGAUGCAUAGCCGACCUGAGAGGGUGAUCGGCCACACUGGAACUGAGACACGGUCCAGACUCCUACGGGAGGCAGCAGUAGGGAAUCUUCCGCAAUGGGCGAAAGCCUGACGGAGCAACGCCGCGUGAGUGAUGAAGGUCUUCGGAUCGUAAAACUCUGUUAUUAGGGAAGAACAUAUGUGUAAGUAACUGUGCACAUCUUGACGGUACCUAAUCAGAAAGCCACGGCUAACUACGUG
rnacentral:rRNA from 1 species